GCGUCUACUACCUCCGCACGGGGGCCUGCGGCUAUGGGAAGAGCUGCAGCUACAACCACCCUCGCGAUCGCGCCGCCGCGGCCUGAUCAUUCACACCGUCAUAUGGUCAUAUUUGUUUCCGAGACUUCAGAGCAGCUUUAUGCAGCUCGGUCAACUAGGCCGCUGGGACGCUGGGGGAGAAGGACAUCGGUGCAGAGCAUGGC